UUGUUGAUAUGGAUAUUGCAAAGUGUUCUUGAGCGUUCUCCUUGGUUUACUGUGCUUAUUUGAUAAGCUGUUUUUAAAUUAUGAAUUGGUUUUGCAGGUUUGCAAAAAGUGAAUGGACAUUGAUUGAAAAGUGGUAUGCUUUUGGAUUUGGGGCGCUGUAGUUAAGGAUUGGAAUUGGGCGCUUGGGAAUUUCAAGAAGCUUUUGGAAAAGUCUUUUGAAGAGUUGCUUCAAACUGCUGUAUUUUACAGCUUAUUUCCAACUUUACAACUUCCUAGAUGUAACAGAACUUUUGGGCAUGUUAUAUAUUUUAAUUUAAACAUUUUUUAUUGUGAUAAUUAUGUAAAUACUUUAGAUUAUUAUAUAAACUUGGAAUUAAUUGGAACUUUGGAUUAUUUGGAAUAUUGUUUGGAAUAUUAUUUGGAAUAUUNAGUGUUCUUGAGCGUUCUCCUUGGUUUACUGUGUAACCAAUUAAUCUGCUUACUUUAUCAUUUAUUUUUCAGUUUUUUAAGUGCUUAUUUGAUAAGCUGUUUUUAAAUUAUGAAUUGGUUUUGCAGGUUUGCAAAAAGUGAAUGGACAUUGAUUGAAAAGUGGUCUGCUUUUGGAUUUGGGGCGCUGUAAUUAGGGAUUGGAAUUGGGCGCUCGGGAAUUUCAAGAGGCUUUUGGAAAAGUCUUUUGAAGAGUUGCUUCAAACUGCUGUAUUUUACAGCUUAUUUCCAACUUUUCAACUUCCUGGCUGUAAGAGAACUUUUCGGCAUGUUAU
rnacentral:lncRNA from 1 species